GAUGAAGAACGCAGCGAAAUGCGAUACGUAAUGUGAAUUGCAGAAUUCAGUGAAUCAUCGAGUCUUUGAACGCACAUUGCGCCCCCUGGUAUUCCGGGGGGCAUCCCUGUCCGAGCGUCAUUGCUGCCCUCAAGCACGGCUUGUGUGUUGGGCCUCCGUCCUCCUCCCGGGGGACGGGCCCGAAAGGCAGCGGCGGCACCGCGUCCGGUCCUCGAGCGUAUGGGGCUUCGUCACCCGCUCUUGUAGGCCCGGCCGGCGCUUGCCGACACAUCAAUCUUUUUUCCAGGUUGACCUCGGAUCAGGUAGGGAUACCCGCUGAACUUAAGCAUAUCAAUAAGCGGGGA
rnacentral:misc_RNA from 1 species